AUUGAACGCUGGCGGCAUGCCUUACACAUGCAAGUCGAACGGCAGCAUAGGAGCUUGCUCCUGAUGGCGAGUGGCGAACGGGUGAGUAAUAUAUCGGAACGUGCCCUAGAGUGGGGGAUAACUAGUCGAAAGACUAGCUAAUACCGCAUACGAUCUACGGAUGAAAGGGGGGGAUCGCAAGACCUCAUGCUCCUGGAGCGGCCGAUAUCUGAUUAGCUAGUUGGUGGGGUAAAAGCCUACCAAGGCAACGAUCAGUAGCUGGUCUGAGAGGACGACCAGCCACACUGGGACUGAGACACGGCCCAGACUCCUACGGGAGGCAGCAGUGGGGAAUUUUGGACAAUGGGGGCAACCCUGAUCCAGCAAUGCCGCGUGAGUGAAGAAGGCCUUCGGGUUGUAAAGCUCUUUUGUCAGGGAAGAAACGGUUUUGGAUAAUACCCAGAGCUAAUGACGGUACCUGAAGAAUAAGCACCGGCUAACUACGUGCCAGCCGCCGCCGUAAAAC
rnacentral:rRNA from 1 species